GAAACCGAGGGUAAUACCGCAUGAGUCCUCAACGGCAUAAGUCGAUGAGGGGAAAGGCGGGGCUCCUUCGGGACCUGUCGCCUCUGGAUGAGCCCGCGUCCGAUUAGCUAGUUGGUGGGGUAAUGGCCCACCAAGGCAACGAUCGGUAGCCGGCCUGAGAGGGUGAACGGCCACAUUGGGACUGAGACACGGCCCAGACUCCUACGGGAGGCAGCAGUGGGGAAUUUUGGGCGAUGGGGGAAACCCUGACCCAGCGACGCCGCGUGGAGGAUGACGGCCUUCGGGUUGUAAACUCCUGUCAGGUGGGAAGAAAAGCCAGUCGGAUAAUACCCGGCAGGAAUUGACGGUACCACCAAAGGAAGCCCCGGCUAACUCCGUGCCAGCAGCCGCGGUAAUACGGAGGGGGCAAGCGUUAUUCGGAUUUACUGGGCGUAAGGCGCACGUAGGUGGCAUCGUAAGUCAAAGGUGAAAGCCCUCGGCUCAACCGAGGAACUGCCUUUGAAACUGCUUUGCUUGAGUCCGGGAGGGGGGAGCGGAAUUCCCAGUGUAGCGGUGAAAUGCGUAGAUACUGGGAGGAACACCGGUGGCGA
rnacentral:rRNA from 1 species